AGAGUUUGAUUCUGGCUCAGAACGAACGCUGGCGGCGUGGAUAAGACAUGCAAGUCGAACGGGAGAAUUGCUAGCUUGCUAAUAAUUCUCUAGUGGCGCACGGGUGAGUAACACGUGAGUAACCUGCCUCUUAGUGGGGGAUAGCCCUGGGAAACCGGGAUUAAUACCGCAUACGAUUGAAAGAUCAAAGCAGCAAUGCGCUAGGAGAUGGGCUCGCGGCCUAUUAGUUAGUUGGUGAGGUAACGGCUCACCAAGGCGAUGACGGGUAGCCGGUCUGAGAGGAUGUCCGGCCACACUGGAACUGAGACACGGUCCAGACACCUACGGGUGGCAGCAGUCGAGAAUCAUUCACAAUGGGGGCAACCCUGAUGGUGCGACGCCGCGUGGGGGAAUGAAGGUCUUCGGAUUGUAAACCCCUGUCAUGUGGGAGCAAAUUAAAAAGAUAGUACCACAAGAGGAAGAGACGGCUAACUCUGUGCCAGCAGCCGCGGUAAUACAGAGGUCUCAAGCGUUGUUCGGAAUCACUGGGCGUAAAGCGUGCGUAGGCUGUUUCGUAAGUCGUGUGUGAAAGGCAGGGGCUCAACCCCUGGAUUGCACAUGAUACUGCGAGACUAGAGUAAUGGAGGGGGAACCGGAAUUCUCGGUGUAGCAGUGAAAUGCGUAGAUAUCGAGAGGAACACUCGUGGCGAAGGCGGGUUCCUGGACAUUAACUGACGCUGAGGCACGAAGGCCAGGGGAGCGAAAGGGAUUAGAUACCCCUGUAGUCCUGGCAGUAAACGGUGCACGCUUGGUGUGCGGGGAAUCGACCCCCUGCGUGCCGGAGCUAACGCGUUAAGCGUGCCGCCUGGGGAGUACGGUCGCAAGAUUAAAACUCAAAGAAAUUGACGGGGACCCGCACAAGCGGUGGAGUAUGUGGCUUAAUUCGAUGCAACGCGAAGAACCUUACCUGGGCUUGACAUGUAAUGAACAACAUGUGAAAGCAUGCGACUCUUCGGAGGCGUUACACAGGUGCUGCAUGGCCGUCGUCAGCUCGUGUCGUGAGAUGUUUGGUUAAGUCCAGCAACGAGCGCAACCCCUGUUGCCAGUUACCAUCGAGUAAUGUCGGGGACUCUGGCGAGACUGCCCAGAUCAACUGGGAGGAAGGUGGGGACGACGUCAGGUCAGUAUGGCCCUUAUGCCCAGGGCUGCACACGUACUACAAUGCCCAGUACAGAGGGGGCCGAAGCCGCGAGGCGGAGGAAAUCCUGAAAACUGGGCCCAGUUCGGACUGUAGGCUGCAACCCGCCUACACGAAGCCGGAAUCGCUAGUAAUGGCGCAUCAGCUACGGCGCCGUGAAUACGUUCCCGGGUCUUGUACACACCGCC
rnacentral:rRNA from 1 species